rnacentral:rRNA from 1 species
GAUGAACGCUAGCGACAGGCUUAACACAUGCAAGUCGAGGGGCAGCGGGGAUGUAGCAAUACAUCUGCCGGCGACCGGCGCACGGGUGAGUAACACGUAUGUAACCUGCCCUCUGCAGGGGGAUAAGCGGAAGAAAUUCCGUCUAAUACCGCAUAACACAGCCGACGGGCAUCCGUUGGCUGUCAAAGAAGCGAUUCGGCAGAGGAUGGACAUGCGGCGCAUUAGCUAGUCGGCGGGGUAACGGCCCACCGAGGCGACGAUGCGUAGGGGUUCUGAGAGGAAGGUCCCCCACACUGGUACUGAGACACGGACCAGACUCCUACGGGAGGCAGCAGUGAGGAAUAUUGGUCAAUGGGCGGAAGCCUGAACCAGCCAAGUCGCGUGAGGGAAGACGGUCCUAUGGAUUGUAAACCUCUUUUGCAGGGGAGCAAAGCGCGGUACGUGUACCGUGAAGGAGAGUACCCUGAGAAAAAGCAUCGGCUAACUCCGUGCCAGCAGCCGCGGUAAUACGGAGGAUGCGAGCGUUAUCCGGAUUUAUUGGGUUUAAAGGGUGCGCAGGCGGACUGUUAAGUCAGCGGUAAAAUGUCGGUGCUCAACACCGGCCGGCCGUUGAAACUGGCAGCCUUGAGUGAGCGAGAAGUAUGCGGAAUGCGUGGUGUAGCGGUGAAAUGCAUAGAUAUCACGCAGAACUCCGAUUGCGAAGGCAGCAUACCGGCGCUCAACUGACGCUCAGGCACGAAAGCGUGGGUAUCGAACAGGCUUAGAUACCCUGGUAGUCCACGCAGUAAACGAUGAAUGCUCACUGUCCGGGUCGAUUAAGGCCUGGGUGGUCAAGCGAAAGCGUUAAGCAUUCCACCUGGGGAGUACGCCGGCAACGGUGAAACUCAAAGGAAUUGACGGGGGCCCGCACAAGCGGAGGAACAUGUGGUUUAAUUCGAUGAUACGCGAGGAACCUUACCCGGGCUCAAACGGAAGGGGACGGAAUGUGAAAGCAUUCUUUCCUUCGGGACCGCUUCCGAGGUGCUGCAUGGUUGUCGUCAGCUCGUGCCGUGAGGUGUCGGCUUAAGUGCCAUAACGAGCGCAACCCCUAUCGACAGUUGCUAACAGGUAAAGCUGAGGACUCAAUCACUA